ensembl:lncRNA
AAAGAGAAAGGCGGCCAUUGUUACUCCCUGUCCUAGUGAAAAGCCAACUGUCCCGGUUGAUAUAUUAUCGAAUAGAUAUUUGAAAAACACCCUGAGGAUUGAUUAUAAAAAACGUCUGACAUGUUUCUGUAGACAUUAUGGAUACAAUUUGGAAUUGUUGUCUGCGUUGUCGUGACCGCUCUUUCCGGUGGAUUCCUGGGCAUAACGCACCAAACUAACGGAGGUAUUUGGAUAUAAAAAAAAUCUUUAUGGAACAAAAGGAACAUUUGUUGUCUAACUGGGAGUCUCGUGAGUGAAAACAUCCGAAGAUAAUCAAAGGGGUGAUGGUCGAAUUUGCUUUUAUCGUCAAAGGAAUGAGCGUUACACUGAGGCCUGUACUCUGGAGCGGGAUCGAUUUGGAGGUGGAGGGUCCGUCAUGGUCUGGGGAGGAAUGUCAGUGUUCUGCCAUGGCCAGCGAAGAGCCCGGAUCUCAAUCCCAUUGAGCACGUCUGGGACCUGUUGGAUCAGAGGGUGAGGGCUAGGGCCAUUCCCCCCAGAAAUAUCCAGGAACUUGCAGGUGCCUUGUUGGAAGAGUGGGGUAACAUCUCACAACAAGAACGGGCAAAUCUGGAGCAGUCCAUGAGGAGGAGAUGCACUGCAGUACUUAGUAUCUGGUGUGGCCACCAGCUGCAUUGACUGCUACUUUUGAUUUUGACCCCCCCCCCCUUUGUUCAGGGACGAAUUUGAU